UGUAAUUUACAUAAACUGACGUCGCUAAUGUUAGCUCUCCAUCACUGACUAACGGAUUAUCAGUAUUGCUACUGUCGCACAGGCAUUUGCCUUGUUUUAUAUACAAUCCGAUGUUUGUGGCGUAUAGCUUUGUUUUUAGAUUGCCACAAGGGACUCGCGCGGAUCCAAUGAGCCUGAGUAGGUGAGACGCUAAUCCACACACAACUCUGCUCAAGAAGUUGAUUCGUGCAAGUGUUUCUGCAUGAUUAAAUUCAUCUUUCCCCUAGUUAUAUUUAUGCAUUAUGCAACAUUACCUCACGGGCCCAAUCUGUUCAUUUGCAUUCAAACUGCAAUUUGAGGCCAUCAGAUUUCAGAGAGGAAAAAAUACUUUGUCCAAAGUUCUGCAGAACGUCUUGCCUUUUGCGUCAAAGUGACCUACACAUAAAACAAAACGUGUGAAACUGGUAACAAGGGCUGUUUUUACACAUGUCAAUGCAAGCAAAUGCAGUUGGCUCUUCUUACCUACUAUACUUUGCUGAAAGCUUCCGAAGAGAGCUGGGUGUUUACAGUGGAGUGGCUGUAGUUCAAAUGAUGUUCGGGGGCACAUGUUAAUUGGCAUGUAGUUAGCGUCCUCUUUAUUCAAGAGCUCCUCAGAUUCAGGAAGAAAAGUCAAGCAAAAGGUGCUUAUUUAGGUUAAUGUACUGCUCUUCAGGGUAAUACUGAACUGCAAGGGCAGGAGCUGUGUACUUCAAGUGGGCCAUUAACAGUACACAAUACUUCAUAACACCUUGUUUUACUGUGAUUUGUGGGUCCAUGUGGUGUCCUCAACUGUGACCUUUACUGCCCAUAUGUCACUAUGGGGAAUGAAAAAGUGGUGUGCCACUUUCAGCCUCCAGUUCUAACAGACGAGUGUUUUUUUUUAGCUGGAGGUAAAGCCAAUGUUUGAUUGGUGUUUUGCCACUAUAUGGUCCUUUGGCUUUGCCUUAGGCCCUUGGCUGGACUGUGGGCCGAACUCUGAUGUCUGCUUUUCCUGCUGAGGCGAUGCAGUGCUCUAUCUGUGUGUUUUCAAUGAAGCUCUUUUUCACUGACACACAGCCUUCUACAGGGUACUGUUAGGAUACAGAAAGUUUGUGCUGUAGGAGACAGACAGAUUUGUGUAUUCCAAAACCUCACGUGCAUGUGAGAGUCCGCCAUUGUUUUACAAAGACAACCAAUAAGACACAGUGGUAGAAAUUGCAACCUAUAGGGCAACUCUGUAUAACAAACAACCAAUCAGAGUUCAUGCUGUAUUCUGCGCACAAAUUUGAAUAUAUGUAAAUGUAACUGUAUAAACUCCACAAACUCGAACAGUUGAAUUGGACAUUUUUGUGUGAAUCCCUGUUGCUGGCUUUCUGUAUAAUAAAUGCUUCCUGAUUUUAAACACUAACUUCGGAUCUGCUUCUACCUGGAACGACGGUCACUAUUGUUCUUGGCAACAUUUCUGGUUACCAACAAUUUGGCGCUGCAAGCAGGGUGGAUUCGUCUUCCAGAACUUCGUUGUUUUCCUGACCAAAAAAGUGAGUAAACGGGUUUUACUACCAUUGGCUUGGCGAAUUGGACGGCAAAACUGCGGAAGUCUGGAACGCUCCACCCAGUGGUACGAUAACGUAUAUCUUGACCGGUGUAGAAGCGAUCAGUUGUUUGUGCUUAAAAACUGUGUCUUUUGGUAUAACGUCUGUGUAACGUUACACGAUUGUUUGUUAUAAAUAUCAGUGCUGAUGAUGUGUUACCAGUGCUGCUGACUGUGAUAUAGGCCUGUGUAUUAAGCCUAUUGUGACCGGGUGUUUGUGAGUCACCCCUGCCUAUGGAAAGUGUGAAUCCAGGCUAAAUUCUACACGUGGUUGCGUGGCCGUGGUAAGCGAGUGUGUCGCCCACAGCACAGAAGCGCAAAGCCGCAUCUUUGUUUGUUCGUUUAAGGGAGAGUCAGUCAGUGACGCCCCGGGCCCAGGGUUGAGAGACGGAGUUUCUUUCACGUGGGUAGUCUGUCUCUGUUUCAGGUCGUGAGAGAGCGUGUGUGUCGCACUCCCGACAAGUUUUGUGGACAUUAUUGAAUUUUACGUUUAAUAUUGGCCUCUUAGUCUUUAUUGUUUCGUGUUGAUUGUCUUUAGUAACCUAUUAGCCAGUAACGUGCGUUUAUACAGAGAGACGUAACUUAUUACCAACAAAGUAUAAUUCGCGAGCAAAAAUGGCCCCAAACAAGGAGAAUGCAAACGGGAGUAUAACCACAUAUCUGCAGCAAAAGUAUGUAAAGCAAGCAAAGGCGAUGAGUAAAAAUGGCUGGGACCCCGAAGGAUCCACGCCGGAUUCCUUAGAAUGGUGGGGGAAACAAAAAAAGAAUAGGACGGCUUACGGUACCAUUGUACUAAUUACGGAGCAUAUGAGGCUCAUAGAGAAGUGUGACGAAAUGUAUAAUCGGCUACAAGCACAAGAUACGAAAUUAGCUGGUCUGCGUAAGAAGAUAGAAUCUCUUGAGAACAAAGGCAACAGCUCUGACCAGAGCACAGCGCUUGCGUGCAUUCCGACUGAAAUAAAAGGUGUUCCAUCUUUGUACCCAGAUUUAAAUUGUCACACUAUAACUGACCCACUGUAUUUUGAAAAGGAGAAUAAAACGGUGCCCAUGGCACCUAUGGUUACUAAAAUUCGCGGUAGAGGAAAUGAACAACGACUGCAUGUUGAUCACGUUCCUUUAAGCCUGAUCGAAAUGAGAGCUUUAUUAAAGGAUUUGCCGAAUCUUAAUGCGCAAGACGACAAUUUACCGUUUUGGCGACAACUAAAUGAGCUACAGCGUAGCAUGUCUCUACACCCUCUAGACAUGUUUUCAGUUGUGCGUGCAAAAUGUCCAGUUUCAAGCUGGAACAAAAUUGAACCAGCUGAUCUCCGACAGGAACCAUGGGCAUCUGGCCCCUGGGCGAAUCAUAAUGAAUUACAAAACGCGAUUACCGGUUUCUGCGAGGCUGUAAAGACUGCUUUAGGUAAAGGUGCGCCAAAAUGGCAUUGUUUCACGGCAGUAGUACAAAAUAGCUUGCCCUUUGCUGAAUACGCCGAUCGGAAGUAUGAAGCAUUUGAAACGCAUUGUGGCUUCCCUAAUCCAAAUAGAGACAUGGCUGUUUUUACGCAACAAUUACUGGCAGAGGCUGCCCCGCAUAUUCAGAAGGUACUAGCAAUCGGCAUACACCCGGGUAAUACGUUUAGUGACAUUGUUUCGUGGGCCUCGCGAUUAGAGGAACAGAUACGGAAGAAGAGUUCAACUUUACAUCCCAUUGCUGCUGUUCGCUACAACUCUCUGAAGUGCGAUAAUUGUGGGAAAACGGGCCAUAGCACGGAUCGAUGCAAAGGGAGGGACUAUAGGAGAAGUAGGCGUAACACCCCCCCAAACAAAGAAGCAGAUAAAUGCUUUCGAUGUGGAGAACAGGGACAUCGAGCGCCACAAUGUUUAGCUGCCCUACCGAAGGCGCACGCCUCCAGUGGAGGAUACGCAACCUCAGACAAAGAAGCUGGGCCUAUCGCGCACUGCUCCAAUGACGAUUACGCGCAUUUGAACCGAGAACAACUUGUCGCCAUGUUAAACAGUUUGAAAGCAUAGGAAUUACCGGCCUCCUUUUCAGUCAGUAGUAUAGAAACUCAGGCUCAUUGCAGACCGUAUCUUAGUGCGUGGGUAGGAGGCCGACCAUGCGAUAUGCUAAUUGAUACUGGCGCUUCUGUUUCUAUCACUGACCUACCGCUCCCUUGUACAAAGCAUUCCAUUGAUCUUGCUGGCAUUGGGGGUAAUUCUGUCCGCGCAUAUAAAUCCUUUCCAGUACUUGUGGAAUCCAAUAAUGCUUAUUGGACACAAUCAUUUUUCAUUUGUAGGACUGCAGAAGGUACCAUCCUCGGUUCUGACGGCAUGAGAUUACUGAAAGCUACUGUUGCAGACUCGCCUAUGGCUUUAUCAGUUUGUGACGCUUCUCAUAAACGCAAGACAUUGCCAUUAGCUGCUCUUUCCCAUACUGCUAUAGCAUCUGUUGCAACACCUAUUGUCCAUUCCUGGGAUUUGACUAACAAGUUCCAAGCUUUAUGUGCAACAUUCCCUGCAUGCUGGUCUGUGCACAAACUGGAUUGUGGAGCUGCACCAUUACCACCACUUGAGACUCUGAAAGAUAAACAAAAGGAGGGGGGGCAAGAAUCGCAGACAUAUGAACCUGGACAAUGGGUUAUGAUAAGAGCCCCUCAUCCUAGAUCUUUCCAACCUCGAUGGCAAGGACCACACCAGGUCUUACUAACCUCUGAGACUGCUCUUCGAGUUACAGGCAUCCCGGUCUGGAUCCACCAAUCCCGGACCAAACCAUGCCCAUCACCCGAAGACCUCAAAAAGCCUGAAGAACUCCCUGCCACGGACGACUGCAGCCUUCACGAAUCAGGUGCAAACGUUCCAAUUUUUUUCACAUACUCAACCAAAUUGAGCAUUCAAGUUAUGCUCCCAUCCAACAUGCUGAAUUCAUUUGUAAUUAUAAUCACAGUUUUGAGCCAUGGUGGAGUAAGUGCUGUGGACAAUAACAUUUACAUGCAAUUAGUUCACAUGACAGCCAAACAUGCAAAUAAGACUGGCUGCUAUGUCUGUGGAUUAAUACCACAUUCUGUCGCACUUGGUGUUCCAAUGAUGUCCGUACCUAUCGCCUCCAAGUAUAACACUGCAGAUAGCGAUAGCAAAAGUGAACUUGUUACCAGACCUAAACAUAUAUGUGAUCCUGAACCCAUUAACAUUGCUCUGUCUCUUGGCCCAUAUCUGUGGUGCCUCAAACAAAAUGGCUCUAUUUAUGUUGGAGAGACCCUGGACUGCAAUACGGUUAUUAACUACCAUGAUAAACCUGUACAAAACCACACAGCUAUGGGAGUCUAUUGGGUUUGUGGGAACAAUGCCUAUUCUGAGUUGCCUAAUUCAUGGUCUGGUAUCUGCGCCUUAGGACAUUUGGUCCCGGCCAUGAGAAUUACAUCUAUUCUACCGGACCGAGUCAGAUAUGAAAGAUCAACUGACGUCUUUGGAACUCACCAUCAGUCUGUUUGGAACAGAGCACUUGGUGCUCUCAUUCCUACUUAUGGGGUUAUGUCCGCUCUAGAUCAAAUUGGCGACCUCUCCAAAGAGGUAGAGCUUUUGGCCAAUAGCACGGCAUUAGGUCUAGGCAAAAUUUCAGAGGAAUUGACAGCUGUCAGAGUGAUGGCUCUACAGAACAGAGCUGCAUUAGAUUAUAUCCUCUCAGCUCAGGGUGGGACAUGUAAAAUAAUUGGCAUCGAAUGCUGUUCCUAUAUUCCCGAUAAUCAGGAUGACCUGAAACGUGUGAUCUCAAAAAUCAAUGAUGUUUCCCGGUCCGCACAUGAAAUAUCACCUACAACACCUGGUUUUCUUGAAUGGUUAUCGAGCUAUUUGGGUGACCUUGGCAAAAUUGUAGUUGAAUACAUUUUUCUGAUUAUACUGGGAUUAACUGUACUGGCAUUGAUAAUUAAAGGUGUGAAAUUAAUUUUCGUACAGUUAAUCUGUGGUAAAACUAAUGAGCAAACCACACAAGUUGUUCACUAUACAAAGACUCCGACAGCAUACAUAAUAUAGAACCAAGUUGUAAUAACUUGGGAGUACUUGAUAAUGCCCUCACAUGGUAUUCUGUUUUCUUCCUCAUAUGCCGGAGAGUACACUCCCAUGACACCAUACCGGCGCCGAGGACACCACCCCUCCAAGACCAUGUUGCUGCAAACCAGGAGUAAAUUGCAAGAAAUCCCACCAAGCCUUGAAUCGAGCCUUCCCUACCAAACCAAUGUCACUAUCCAUCCAGCCAGCAACAGAAGGACUUUUUUCUUUACAAGUUAUGUUCUUGGAGUACAUCUCGUUCGCCCGUAAAGGGGACGUGAGGGAAUUUUGCCUGAAGUUUUCCUAACACAGGUUUUUGACAGGUUUUCGCCCUCACCCUGAACAAUGACUAAAUAAAUGUAACUGUAAAAUUGACUUAACCAUGAGAUUCAUGUUGUGUCAAAAGGAGGGACUGUUAGGAUACAGAAAGUUUGUGCUGUAGGAGACAGACAGAUUUGUGUAUUCCAAAACCUCACGUGCAUGUGAGAGUCCGCCAUUGUUUUACAAA